CAGAAAUGGGGUCCCUGAAACCACCACCUGUACCAAUCCGGAGGCGAAAACAAGCACCUUCGCCACACUCAGGACCCCCACCUUCACCUUCUGAUCCCCGACCAGAAGCACCUAGCAGACCAAUGCUAGCAAAAGGCUAAAUAGUCACCACCCACGCAUUGCUGAAGGGAAAGGCAGCUUUGGCGCCAUCUGCUGGACAUAAAAAUGCACACAGAUCCUGAAUCUCAGGGAGUGUCAAGAUUGUCUGCUCUCAAAAAAAAACGCUGACCUACGUCACCACUCCUUCCGUUCAUACACGGUAAGUCAAGGGGUCUCCAAGCAGUGGCUCCUAACCACUUUGAAGUAGCUCUCUAAAUGGUUUAUUCAUUUAUCAUCAAUUCAUACUGAAAAAAAUUACAAAGUGGAGCAUAAUAGUUUCUCCUUCAAGAGUUUUUACAAAAAUAUAUGACAUUUAGAGUGGAUUCUUGCAGUUUAUGG